GAUGAAGAACGCAGCGAAAUGCGAUAAGUAAUGUGAAUUGCAGAGUUCAGUGAAUCAUCGAAUCUUUGAACGCACAUUGCGCCCGUUAGUAUUCUGACGGGCAUGCCUGUCCGAGCGUCAUUUCAACCCUCAAGCACGGCUUGGUGUUGGCGGAUUGCGUGCCCUAGCGGCGCUGCACCCGCCCAAAUACAGUGGCGGUCCCGCUGCGGCUCCCGUUGCGUAGUAACUCACCUCGCACUGGACCGGGCGGCGGCUCGCCGUAAAACCCCAACUCACGAAAUGUUGACCUCGGAUCAGGUAGGAAUACCCGCUGAACUUAAGCAUAUCAAUAAGCGGAGGA
rnacentral:misc_RNA from 1 species